rnacentral:snRNA from 1 species
UCUUGAAUCGUAUAGAGC